rnacentral:rRNA from 1 species
AGUCUGGUGCCAGCAGCCGCGGUAAUUCCAGCUCCAAUAGCGUAUAUUAAUGUUGUUGCAGUUAAAAAGCUCGUAGUUGGAUUUCUGGUGGGAGCGGCCGGUCCGCCGCAAGGUGUGUACUUGGUUGUCUCCUGUCAUCCUUGUGGGAACUGCUCUGGCAUUAAGUUGUCGGGGUUAGGGAACACAUCGUUUACUGUGAAAAAAUUAGAGUGUUUAAAGCAGGCUUAUGCCGUUGAAUACAUUAGCAUGGAAUAAUAAGAUAGGACUUUGGCGUCUAUUUUGUUGGUUUGCACACCAAGGUAAUGAUUAAUAGGGAUAGUUGGGGGUAUUCGUAUUUAAUUGUCGGAGGUGAAAUUCUUGGAUUUAUGAAAGACGAACUUCUGCGAAAGCAUUUACCAAAGAUGUUUUCAUUAAUCAAGAACGAAAGUUAGGGGAUCGAAGAUGAUUAGAUACCAUCGUAGUCUUAACCAUAGACUAUGCCGACUAGGGAUUGGCGGUCGUUCAUUUAUGACUCCGUCAGCACCUUAUGAGAAAUCAAAGUCUUUGGGUUCCGGGGGGAGUAUGGUCGCAAGGCUGAAACUUAAAGGAAUUGACGGAAGGGCACCACCAGGAGUGGAGCCUGCGGCUUAAUUUGACCCAACACGGGGAAACUUACCAGGUCCAGACAUAGUAAGGAUUGACAGAUUGAGAGCUCUUUCUUGAUUCUAUGGGUGGUGGUGCAUGGCCGUUCUUAGUUGGUGGAGUGAUUUGUCUGGUUAAUUCCGUUAACGAACGAGACCGUCGCCUGCUAAAUAGUUACGCGAAUGGCUUCGGCCAUUGGUGGGCAACUCCUUAGAGGGACUUUAGGUGUUUAACCAAAGGAAGCUGGCGGCAAUAACAGGUCUGUGAUGCCCUUAGAUGUUCUGGGGCGCACGCGCGCUACACUGAUACAUGCAACGAGUUUAUAACCUUGAUCUGACGGUCUGGGUAAUCUUCAAACUGUAUCGUGUUAGGGAUCGAUCCUUGCAAUUUUUAAUCGUAAACGAGGAAUUCCUAGUAAACGCAAGUCAUCAGCUUGCAUUGAUUACGUCCCUGCCCUUUGUACACACCGCCCGUCGACUCUACCGAUUGAAUGGUUCGGUGAAAACUUUGGACUGUGGCAUUGUCCUUCAUUGGACUUCGCCGUAGGAAAUUGUUUAAACCUCAUCAUUU